rnacentral:lncRNA from 1 species
GAAAGCAUUUUAAUAGUGUCAUGUUCACUCAUUUCCAUUCUUGUGUGUUUGUGUGUGUUGCAGGAAGGUGUAUUCUUGUUCAGAGCAGCACUAAGAGGAGAUCUCCACUAUGAAUGCAGUGAAGCACACUCUGUAGACUCCGAUGGCUGGCGGUCGCGCAGUGUAACAGAAGGUCUGAGGAAUGGUGAUGCAAACAGUUCGUCUCUGGCAGCAAAAGGCUUCCGCAGCGUCCGACCCAACCUGCAGGACAAGAAAUCACCCGUCCUGGUAAACUACGCCACCUGCAUACAGUAUGCAAUAAGUAAUGGGGCCUAAAUUAGAAUUAGAACCAAAUUUAGCAAAACAAGAGUAAGAGUAAGAGUAACUUACCUGCCAUUUACAUAACUUUCUAAGCCUCUAGUGGUGACUUUUGAUUGGCUGCUAAAUGUAAUGUAUCAUUAGCAACCCCAUCAAAAUACUCCAAAUAGGUCUUAUCUGUUAAGCAUGGUGGUGGUAGUGUUAUAGCAAAGAAAUGUAUGGUUUUCAAUGGCUUCCGUUGUGCUUGGUUCUGAUUAAUCUGAGAAAAUCUCAUCAUCUGGUUUCAUUCAGUGUAACUGAUAAACACACGUGUUAUGUGUGGCAUAUUGCAUGUACAGAGUUUCAAUAAUAGAUAUGGGGUCCCAUGACUUGUGCCAUGUCUCAUGGAAGAUAAAGAAAGAAGCACUGACCUGUGGGGUACGCUUGUGUGGCCCUCAUCAUUGAAUGUGGAUGUGAUUUUUAGCCAGAAGCCACCGGCCAAGAUCAUUACCACCCACUGUGCUGUCCACUCUGGGUGGUAAUAUUAGUCUUCAAUGACGUAUUCCUGGUCAACGCAACAUGAAUUGGAACGUCCCCUCCAUCUGGCACUCACUAUCAGCAUUUCGUUUUAACUCACUGUCUUGCUAUGAGCACAUUGGCCAGUGUACAACUUCACUCACAAGAUAACAACUCAUAACUUAUACCAGUGUUGGUGUUUUUAAGUGCAUUUACUGCUGGCCCAUGACUUGUGGCAUUUCUGUGUACUUUAUAUGCAGUACACUUUUUUAUCAAGGUUAUAAAUUGUUUAUUAACAGUAUUUAUAAUACAUUUUUGAUUGAAACAGCGUGAGGAUAUCUGAUAGAGUGUGAGCAUGCAUUGCUGAUA